rnacentral:rRNA from 1 species
GGCGGCGUGCUUAACACAUGCAAGUCGAACGAUGAAGCCCUUCGGGGUGGAUUAGUGGCGAACGGGUGAGUAACACGUGGGCAAUCUGCCCUUCACUCUGGGACAAGCCCUGGAAACGGGGUCUAAUACCGGAUACGAGGUUUCGCAGGCAUCUGUGAACUUGGAAAGCUCCGGCGGUGAAGGAUGAGCCCGCGGCCUAUCAGCUUGUUGGUGAGGUAAUGGCUCACCAAGGCGACGACGGGUAGCCGGCCUGAGAGGGCGACCGGCCACACUGGGACUGAGACACGGCCCAGACUCCUACGGGAGGCAGCAGUGGGGAAUAUUGCACAAUGGGCGCAAGCCUGAUGCAGCGACGCCGCGUGAGGGAUGACGGCCUUCGGGUUGUAAACCUCUUUCAGCAGGGAAGAAGCGAGAGUGACGGUACCUGCAGAAGAAGCGCCGGCUAACUACGUGCCAGCAGCCGCGGUAAUACGUAGGGCGCAAGCGUUGUCCGGAAUUAUUGGGCGUAAAGAGCUCGUAGGCGGCUUGUCACGUCGAUUGUGAAAGCCCGAGGCUUAACCUCGGGUCUGCAGUCGAUACGGGCUAGCUAGAGUGUGGUAGGGGAGAUCGGAAUUCCUGGUGUAGCGGUGAAAUGCGCAGAUAUCAGGAGGAACACCGGUGGCGAAGGCGGAUCUCUGGGCCAUUACUGACGCUGAGGAGCGAAAGCGUGGGGAGCGAACAGGAUUAGAUACCCUGGUAGUCCACGCCGUAAACGGUGGGAACUAGGUGUUGGCGACAUUCCACGUCGUCGGUGCCGCAGCUAACGCAUUAAGUUCCCCGCCUGGGGAGUACGGCCGC